GGAUGCAAACCAAGGCCACAGGCGUCGCUCUCGACGCUCCGCACCGCGUGGGUCUCGUGGGGGGGUGGGGGCGCAGCCAGCGCUAUCGUGCGCCGGGGGUCUCCGGCCGCCGGCCGCCCAUCCAGCGACGGAUCGGUCUUCUCUCAUCGGUCGGCUUCUUCUCCGUAACGCGGUCAAUUGGUUUCUUCUAUUUCGUUGUCGUGGAAAAGCCCAAAGCCCAUGGUUUGAUGAAGAAUCCAAUGGCCAGGAAGAGAAGUACAGCAAGUGUUAUAGUACCCAUAGUCCGAUCCGCGAUGUUUAUCAUUUUUAUUUUUUAAUCGGUCUUUUGUAACGCGUGAUAUUAUUUGAAAUAUAAAAAACCCUGCCGACUUUUUUUAUUUUGUUGCUCAAAAAAGUUGCGGUCAACUAUUUUGAAGAAGUCAAUAGGCAAGUUGCAUGAGAUUUCUCGGUAGUCUUGAUUCAUGCUUGUCCAAUGGCUUCCAUAUGCCCAGUCCGCUAACAGUC
rnacentral:lncRNA from 1 species